rnacentral:misc_RNA from 1 species
GAUGAAGAACGUAGUGAAAUGCGAUAAGUAAUGUGAAUUGCAGAAUUCAGUGAAUCAUCGAAUCUUUGAACGCACAUUGCGCCCGUCAGUAUUCUGGCGGGCAUGCCUGUUCGAGCGUCAUUACGCCCCUCAAGUCCCCUGUGGACUUGGUGUUGGGGAUCGGCGAGGCUGGUUUUCCAGCGCAGCCGUCCCUUAAAUUAAUUGGCGGUCUCGCCGUGGCCCUCCUCUGCGCAGUAGUAAAACACUCGCAACAGGAGCCCGGCGCGGUCCACUGCCGUAAAACCCCCCAACUUUUUAUAGUUGACCUCGAAUCAGGUAGGACUACCCGCUGAACUUAAGCAUAUCAAUAAGCGGAGGA